rnacentral:lncRNA from 1 species
CAAGAUCCAAAAUAAAUACAUGUGUAACGGUCUAAAGAUAUAUAUCAUAUUGCAUUGGAUGAAGAAAAUAAGAAGAUUAUAUACUAGUCUAUUAAAUAAGUUUUAUCUAACACUAAAUCAGUUUAAAUUUUUUGGUAUAAUCAGUAUUCCAUUUUUUUUUCAUUUUCAAAAGAUCAUUGAUCUUGUUUAUAAUUUUUUUUCUUUUGUAACAGAUCUAGUUUAUAAUUUUCGCGUGAUGGAAUUGCCUCCAAUUGUCGCAAAAAAAAAAAGAAAAAUACAUAAGAACCACGUGUGUAGUAGUCAGGCAACUUGUUCUACUCAACUCCGAAAGUCUGCGUGGACUUCACACUUAGAAAAUGGAGUGCAAUUAUAGAGGAGGUAAUGGUUGUUUACCACUCUCUAAACUAAAAAGCUUUGUAAGAUAGUUUACUGCUACUUACAAAAUGGUGAUCGUCAUUCCAGCGAAAAAAAUGAGAACAAGAUACGAUCUCAUGCGUUAUGCUUUGUGUUGUAAUCAUGGGCACUUUGGGCUUGUGGGAUGGAAAAAAGUCCAAUUAAAAUCGAAUCCAAAAUAUUCUAAAGGGGUCAUAUACAAUGAUCAUUAGCAACUACGAAAUUAUAAUAAAAUAAAUCAUGGAGUGUAUUAACACUAAUAUAUAGACAAUGUGUAUUUAAUUAAAAAUAACAAGGUUAUAACCUUGGGGUUUUAACACUCGUCAAUAUACUUCUUCGGUUCUUUGAAAACUAGAUGAUUACGGCCAUGAUUGUUUUGAUAGUUUUUGGUUUUAAUUUUUAUUAUUGGUUUUUAAAUUUUGGUUUUUAGAUUUUUAUUUUUUAGUUUAAUUUUUAGAUUUUGUUUUUGACUUUCAAAUUUUAUAUUUUUUUUAAUUUUGGUUUUUAGUUUUUCUAUGUUUUACUAGUUUUGCAAAAACCUAAAUCAGAUUUUUAAAUAAUAUAACAAAAUACUAAUAAUUAUUCAAAUAUGUAAAUUUUUAUAUUUUACAACUAAAAUGUUUCAAAGUUUUCAUAUUUUUGACAAAAACCAUACUUUACUAAAAGGAUAAAUCAUAAAUUUAUUUAUGAAUAAUACAAAAUAUUUAUAAAAUAGGAAUAUAUUUACUUUAGACAUACACAUUUAAUCAAUGUUGAUGAUAUUAAUAUUAACAAAAAGAUAUAUAACAAAAUAUACAUAUAAGAAGCUACGUGCUUAAAAACUAAAAAAAAC